AAGAAAACGAAAAAUCUCCCGCCCAGGAGGGAACUCACGAGCCGUAGAGAGCAACGUCACGCACAGAGGCUGGGGGGGAGUGGCGAAAGUCGAGCAUGCGCACAACGGAGCGGCCUCUUGUGGCGGAAGUGGGGAAGUGCUGGGUCGCCUCAUCCGUCACAGAGUAAUGGCGGCUCACCUGCCAACGAAGAAGGACCACAUUCUGUGCUGUGUGUGGAGCGGAGGCAGAAAAUUCACUUUGUAGCCAGACAGAACGGCCGCCUGCAGCUACACACACUCUGGGGGUGCCACCUUGUCUGGAGAAAAUACCAAGAACCUUCCUACAUUUUGUCUGUAUGCGGGCGGUCUUACCUGUCAGCGCAGGACGCCUGGGGUUCAAGGGAUACUGUCAUGGGAAAACUUGUUUUCUUCAAACACAUCAGUUAAUAGUGCUGCUCCAGCAGAAUUCUGCACUGAAACAUACCUCCAAAAAUUUUGGAAAUAAAAUAGGGACAAAAAGUUGUGGCGUGCGUAGCACGGCAUUUUUUUGGCCACACCCAUUUUGUGGCCACACCCCCUAAUUACCAUGUUCAUUUAGGGUUGCCACCUUUUCUGGAAAAAAAUACCGGCCUAUAUAUCGGGCUUUAUUGUAUUAAAUCCAUCAUACUACGACAGAGCGAAUAUUUUCACUACAACUAAAUGAUGCAGAGUAGCUAUCCUUCAGUAAUACUAAUUGAAUGCAUGAGCUUAAUGUUAUGCAGUUGAACAUGAUUCUUCAAAAUGUAAAUGUACAGUUAAAAAACGACUAUAGUUGUAUUAAAUAGCAACUACA